AUCAACUAACCCACUAUAUCUCUAUGUGAAUUACAAUUGAGGAAGGUUUAAGAACAAGUUCUCUAUCCGAUUACAUGCGGUGUCAAGCAUAUCUCUACCUUAACACUCAUCAAGUUUAAGCUACUAACAAAAUCCUAAACACACGCUAUCAUGAUCAGAUCUAAAUCUAUACUUCAUCUCUCGAGUUCAUAUAGAUUAUCACGGUAAUUGAUGGCCAGUCAAUUAAACAAUUAAGUCCAAACCACAAUAGACAAUUCUCACGAUAGAACAUAAUAAUUGAUAGUGAAACAUAUUAAAAUAAACUACACAAUAAGAUCCAUUGUAAUCUCAAACAAAGAAUUAGUUCAUUGAAUUAAAACUAAGAAU
rnacentral:lncRNA from 1 species